rnacentral:snoRNA from 1 species
UAAGCAGUGAUGAGCAGCUAACAUAUAAGAAGAACCCAUUAGGAAGUGGGAUCUUCCGUGAAAUACACUUUACGCUUGGCUUCUGAGCUUU